rnacentral:rRNA from 1 species
UACAGAGGAGCCAAGCGUUGUCCGGAUUGACUGGGCGUAAAGCGCACGCAGGCGGACGCGCGCGUGGGGUGUGAAAUCUGGCCGCUUAACGGCCAGGCGCCAUCCCAUACGGGGCGUCUGGAGCAAUGCAGAGGUCGGUGGAAUUGCCGGUGUAGUGGUGAAAUGCGUAGAGAUCGGCAGGAACACCCAGGGGGAAACCAGCCGACUGGGCAUUUGCUGACGCUGAGGUGCGAGAGCGUGGGGAGCGAACCGG